rnacentral:rRNA from 1 species
UACGUAGGGUGCAAGCGUUAAUCGGAAUUACUGGGCGUAAAGCGUGCGCAGGCGGUUCUAUAAGACAGAUGUGAAAUCCCCGGGCUCAACCUGGGAACUGCAUUUGUGACUGUAGAGCUGGAGUACGGUAGAGGGGAUGGAAUUCUGCGUGUAGCAGUGAAAUGCGUAGAUAUGCGGAGGAACACCGAUGGCGAAGGCAAUCCCCUGGACCUGUACUGACGCUCAUGCACGAA